GGCUAUAUAAGGUUGAAACACCGGUUCUUGUACGAUCGCCGAAGUUAAGCAACGUCGAGCCUGGUCAGUACUUAGAUGGAUGACCGCUUGAGAAUACCAGGUGCUAU
rnacentral:rRNA from 1 species